UACGGAGGGAGCUAGCGUUAUUCGGAAUUACUGGGCGUAAAGCGCACGUAGGCGGCUUUGUAAGUUAGAGGUGAAAGCCUGGAGCUCAACUCCAGAAUUGCCUUUAAGACUGCAUCGCUUGAAUCCAGGAGAGGUGAGUGGAAUUCCGAGUGUAGAGGUGAAAUUCGUAGAUAUUCGGAAGAACACCAGUGGCGAAGGCGGCUCACUGGAGCUGGUAUUGACGCUGAGGUGCGAAAGCGUGGGGAGCAAACAGG
rnacentral:rRNA from 1 species